AUUGAACGCUGGCGGAAUGCUUUACACAUGCAAGUCGAACGGCAGCACGGGUGCUUCACCUGGUGGCGAGUGGCGAACGGGUGAGUAAUAUAUCGGAACGUAUCCAAUAAUGGGGGAUAACGAGUCGAAAGAUUCGCUAAUACCGCAUACGCCCUACGGGGAAAGCUGGGAUCUUCGGACCUAGCGUUAAUGGAGCGGCCGAUAUCUGAUUAGCUAGUUGGUGGGGAAAGGCCCACCAAGGCUACGAUCAGUAGCUGGUCUGAGAGGACGACCAGCCACACUGGAACUGAGACACGGCCCAGACUCCUACGGGAGGCAGCAGUGGGGAAUUUUGGACAAUGGGCGCAAGCCUGAUCCAGCCAUUCCGCGUGAGUGAAGAAGGCC
rnacentral:rRNA from 1 species